AUUGAACGCUGGCGGCAGGCCUAACACAUGCAAGUCGAGCGGAUGAAGGGAGCUUGCUCCUGGAUUCAGCGGCGGACGGGUGAGUAAUGCCUAGGAAUCUGCCUGGUAGUGGGGGAUAACGUCCGGAAACGGGCGCUAAUACCGCAUACGUCCUGAGGGAGAAAGUGGGGGAUCUUCGGACCUCACGCUAUCAGAUGAGCCUAGGUCGGAUUAGCUAGUUGGUGGGGUAAAGGCCUACCAAGGCGACGAUCCGUAACUGGUCUGAGAGGAUGAUCAGUCACACGGGAACUGAGACACGGUCCAGACUCCUACGGGAGGCAGCAGUGGGGAAUAUUGGACAAUGGGCGAAAGCCUGAUCCAGCCAUGCCGCGUGUGUGAAGAAGGUCUUCGGAUUGUAAAGCACUUUAAGUUGGGAGGAAGGGCAGUAAGUUAAUACCUUGCUGUUUUGACGUUACCAACAGAAUAAGCGCCGGCUAACUUCGUG
rnacentral:rRNA from 1 species